rnacentral:tRNA from 1 species
GCACAGAUGGUGAAAUUGGUAUACACGCUACUUUGAGGGGGUAGUGGCCGCAAGGCCGUGGGAGUUCGAGUCUCCUUCUGUGCA